rnacentral:rRNA from 1 species
CCUACGGGUGGCAGCAGUAGGGAAUAUUGCUCAAUGGGGGAAACCCUGAAGCAGCAACGCCGCGUGGAGGAUGAAGGUUUUCGGAUUGUAAACUCCUUUUGUUAGAGAAGAAAAUGAUGGUAUUAAACAAAUAAGAACCCGCUAACGCCGUGCCAGCAGCCGCGGUAAUACGGAGGGGGCAAGCGUUACUCGGAGGCACUGGGCGUAAAGAGCGGGUAGGCGGGAUAGCAAGUCAGAUGUGAAAUCCUAGGGCUUAACCAUAGAACUGCGUUUGAAACUGUUAUUCUAGAGUAUGGGAGAGGUAGGUGGAAUUCUUGGUGUAGCGGUGAAAUCCGUAGAGAUCAAGAGGAAUAC